rnacentral:rRNA from 1 species
AUGCUGGGCGCACUGCCGGAGGACUUGCUGAUGCAGGUGGCGACGAAGCCAACCGCGAAGGAGGUAUGGGACUCCCUCCGGGUUCGCUUCGUCGGCGCCGAUCGGGUGCGAGCGGUGAGGCUCGGGACGUUGCGCGACGAGUUCGAUUGCCUGCGGAUGGACGACGGCGACGAGCUGGACGACUACGCCGGGAAGGUCAGCGGCAUGGCGGCGAGGUACGCGAUGCUCGGGUCGACGCUCGACGACAGCGCCAUGGUGAAGAAGUUGCUCGACACCGUGCCGGACUGCCUGUAUGCCGCGGUGGCCGGAAUCGAGUAA